AGAGAGCAUAUUAGCUUUUGUACAGUAAGACAUCAUGCAGUCGACCCCAUUUUGGAAACAAUAAUGUAUGCAAACAUAGACACUUUUUAUUUCCAAAAC